UUUUAGAUAAGAAUAAGGUAGUUAAGGUGGAGGUGGCUCUUGUUUAAAAACCUUGGGAUUAUAGGAUUGAUUCAGAAAAAUAAAUUCUAUGCCACUGAUGUAGAACAACAUCUGAUUGGGUCGAUCCAAAGGCGGUGAUAACAAGCCUGAAGGGCUGUGAACCUGGGAAGUUGCCUCUUUCCGCAGAAACAAUUGGAAGGGUAAAGAAGCGCUACCCAAAGACCCUAGCAGCCCUGCCACUCCUUGGAACCAGGAGACUGGAUCUAUGUAAAGGUCCACCAACGAAAGACUGCUUUGGCUCCAUGCUGGAAAGGCCCUUAUUAAGUCCUGCUGACUACCAACACCGCUGUGAAGUGCCAAAGACUGACUGCCUGGACCCAUGAUUCUCACUGCAAAAAGACCUCUCCACCUCG